CUUCAAACAUGACUACAGCUAGCACAUAGCGUCUUCUAAUAGAAAUAUCUAAAUUAGCUUGUGCUUCAUUCUUCACUGCAGGUCAGAACAACAACUGAACAGCCCUUGAAGGAGCAUCUGAAGAUGUUUUUGAUGGAUAUUUGAUGUUUUGCAACUGAUAGACUCGUAUCAGCAAAUCCUACUAUGAGAUAUUCAUAGACAAGAAGAAUGUGCCAACCAGGGGUAAAAAAGGAAAGUAUCUCAAAAAC